GGAUCUCCUGCAGUGCCACAGGAGCUCUUCUGUCCUGCCUUUCUUUGCAGCUGAACCUGCUGGUGAAGGUGGAGCAGCUUCCCAAACCACGUCCAGGACUGAGCCUCUGGGAGAUGCUGAGGUGAUGGACCAAACAUCUGGGCAGAAGGAGGCACAUCCUGGAGGAAGCAUUUCCCCAUGGACAGCCCCUGCUGCAGGAAGGAAAGCGAUGCCAGACACGGGCACAGGCACAGCAGAUCUCGUAGAGGUUCACAGCAAGACAGGAACACGUGCCCUGAUUCCACUUUGAUGAAUCCCAAUGAUUUUCUGCUUGCAGGACGGGCACAAGCAGAGCAUGACAGGUGACUUCAACUUGCCAGACAUCUGCUGGGAACUUAAUACAACAGAAGAAAAAGCAGCCCAGGAAAUUUGUAGAGAGUGUGGAGGACAAGUGUUGGUUGCAGCAGGUGGGUGAGCCCAGCAGGGGAGGGACUAUGUUAGAUCUGCUGUUUGCAGAUAGAGGUGGGCUGGGGGGACAUGUGGUGGCUGGAGGCCUCUUGGGGCACAGUGAUCAUGAAAUGAUAGAAUUUGUUGCAUUGCAAGCUGAUCUGUAGUCAGCAUUAAUCAAGUUCUAAGAAGCAGUCCAGCUCAGCUCCAUGAACUAGCCUCUGUGUCUGACUGACAGAAGCUCACAUGCAGUGGGAACUCUCCUAGGAUGCAGACAUUGUCUUGGUUCAGAGUCUGGGGGCACACAGAUAGACCAAUGAGCUGUCUCGGCCCAGGAGAUUUGAGUGGGCUAUAAAAGAACACUCCGGACAAUAAACAAGGCUGUUUUUCUGAGGAAACACGAGUGGUCUGUUGUAUGUUAUGUCUCAGACAGGGGAACACCAAUGUAUCAAGAAUUCUUGGUAUUUUGUGAA